AUUUUGUUGGAGAUCCUUGUGUGUCUGAGGCCUUCUGAUGUAAAACUGCAUUUAGGAACCAUUAAAUUUGACGUUUUCAUAACUGAUUUUUUUGGGCCUUGGCAAUUGCACUCAGCCUGAUCUACAAAAAGAGUGGUCUUUGAGUUGUUCUUGUCUCUUCUGCACAGCAUGAGAAGAGCGAGUUGGAGAAGUGUACUUCAGUCAGUCUGCAAACAACCUGAUGGGCUUCCUCCUGGUGAGGCUGAGGUUGCUCCCUUUGGAAUUUUUACUGCGAGCCUAUGACACGGAGAAAAGUGGAAGACAGAAAGGAGCAUUCAGCAGAGUCUAUGAAGCAUACUGGAAAAAUAGCGUAAAGCUGUAUGGUGUCUGUGAGACUUCAAAAUAUUUGCCUCACAGUUAUUUACUCUGGAGUGCUGAAGAAUGGAGACUUUCAGCUUCUUCUCCCUGUGCUCCUCCAACAACACAAGAGUGAAAGCUUGACAUCUCACUUCCUACCUAAGCACUUAUCUUUUGUGUCCUACUAGAUCAAUAUAAAGAUAUUAAGAGAGACUGUUGAUGCCUCUGUAAGGUAGGUCCAGCUGCCUGUGACAAAGCAGUGUAUCUCUGAGAGCUGAAAUAAUCUGGAGGACUAAAGUCACAGCUGAGGGCAAACAUGAGGGAGGUUAGAAAAUUCUGUAUAAUAUUACUGAGCAUGAAACUGGCUAAAAUCUUAUGAGAUUUCUUUGUGAAUAAUUUUGUAAUAAGGAAACAUUCUUGAUAAAGAGUGAAAUCAAUAGAAAUUAGGGUAGUAUGGCAUAAUUAUCUUGUUGACUGUGUCAAAUCAGAAGGCAGAGAACUGGAGAGCACAUAGUUUUGUCCUCUGCUUCCCUGAUCCUGGAGCCUCUAAGCUGGAAAAAGAGAUGGGACUACUGAGGUGUUCUCUUACUGAGAAGCUGGUGGCACUAGCUCGAUGAGUGACAGCCACAAGGGCUCAAUGUGAAUUCUUUCUUGACAGAACUCAUUUUUUUUUUCCUGGAAGAGAAAAGCUUUAAAGUGUGAAAUCUGAUGGUUUUUGUGUGUAUGACCAUACCACCUAUUAUCUUAAGCAGUCCUUUUUGUCGUCUUUUGCUUACCGUCCUACAGCUUCAAGGAAGCACAGCUGAAUUUCUUUUCUCUUCACAAGACUAAACAAGCCUUGUUUCUUGUAACUUAGACACCUUUUCCUCCUGCUCAUCACUGUAGCCUUUCUUUGAUCUUCUUACUGUCUGCAUUCAUCUCAUCAGCCUCUGAGAAAUCUUGUUACACUAGUACUCAGCUAUUGCUGUGGCAAAAAUCAAGGAUGGGGAAAGGAGAGUAGAAAGCCCUCACUUCAAGCAUUUGCAAUGUAUGAUUAAUUUGGAGAGCUCUCCUUGUACUAGUUCUUUGUUUUUCAAUUCUAUGCAAUGAUUUAAGUACUGAACUAACUACAGUCAUCUGUUGUAAAGAACCCAAUGUACUGGUGUACCACCUCCAAGUGUUUCUCUGUGGUAGACUACUGGUUGAUUUCCCUUAUGUAUUCCUGUAUUGCCACCUAGGACUCUUUAAAAGGGACUGAAAGUAGCUGAGGCAUAGUGACAGAGGGAGAUGCCUGUCUGUACUUUUUAUAAUUGCUCAUGAUUUUUACUCUGUGGAGCUCUAAGAGAGCAGAAAAAGAUCACAUCAACCCUUGAUUUAACUCAUUUUCCAGAGUAUUCAGUUUAACCAGCUCACGGUAAUUGGGACAUUUCCAGCACAGAUCUUAAAUUGUUAUUGUUGUUUUUUGGUUGGGUUUUGUUGUUGCUGUUGUAGUUGUUUUGUCUUCUGUAUUUUGGUUCUGUCCUUACAUGCGAAUGCUACUUACAUACCAUUUUAUGUUCCUUUGGGGGAAAAAAAGUUCUCCUGUGUUCUAGCAAAGCAUGCAGAUUAGCUUUGUAGAUGUGGAUGUUUAAAGUUUGUUUUCUUUGAAUGUUAUUGCACUAACAUAAAAACCUGUUUUUA
ensembl:lncRNA